rnacentral:tRNA from 1 species
CGGGCUGUAGCUCAGAUGGCUAGAGCGCCUGCUUUGGGAGCAGGAGGUCGCUGGUUCGAGACCAGUCAGCCCGA